UACUGGGAUCUGAAAGAUAGAUCAUUCAAAUCUCUCAAAGGUAAGGUUCUUGCACAAAUGUCUUUUUCGCACUAUUUAUUUCAGUUGCUAUUGAAAUUGAUGCUUUGAACUGUACGUGAUUUUGUGGGGAGCAAGACGGAAGAGGGUCAGUUUGUUUGUGCUCAAAAGAAGGAACUUUUUUGUGGUUCAAGGAAUUAGGAUUUUGGAGAUGCUGUGACAUGGUACAGAAGCUGAUAUAUCAG
rnacentral:lncRNA from 1 species